UAAGGAAUAUUGGUCAAUGGACGCAAGUCUGAACCAGCCAUGCCGCGUGAAGGAUGAAGGUCCUCUGGAUUGUAAACUUCUUUUAUCUGGGACGAAAACGGGAUUUUUAUCUCAAUUGACGGUACCAGAGGAAUAAGCACCGGCUAACUCCGUGCCAGCAGCCGCGGUAAUACGGAGGGUGCGAGCGUUAUCCGGAUUUACUGGGUUUAAAGGGUGCGUAGGUGGGCUUAUAAGUCAGUGGUGAAAUCUCCGAGCUUAACUUGGAAACUGCCGUUGNUACUAUAGGUCUUGAAUUAUCUGGAGGUAAGCGGAAUAUGUCAUGUAGCGGUGAAAUGCUUAGAUAUGACAUAGAACACCAAUUGCGAAGGCAGCUUACUACAUAUAAAUUGACGCUGAGGCACGAAAGCGUGGGGAUCAAACA
rnacentral:rRNA from 1 species